rnacentral:lncRNA from 1 species
AAGGCAACUGGCGGAGUGGCGGCUCCACCAGAGCCUGGGAGCUGCCCCCGCCCCCGAGCCGCGAGCCCCGCGCCGGGCCGGGGAGUCCCCGGCGCCACACGCCCCCACCACCCCCAUCUUAGCGCCCCCCACCCUCUAUGGAGACAUUUCAACCAGGGAGAAGGGAAGUCCUGCCCUUGCCCCUCGCCCCCGCCCUGCUCCUCCAACAGGGGAGACUUCUGUCCAAACCUUGGAAAGAAACGAGAUGCCAGGCCUAGCGCCUUCGGGGAUCCUCUCUGGACAAGGCCACAGGGUGAAAACACCAGCACUUCCUGGAGGCGUUUGACCGGGACCUGGGAGGGCAGCUGAGAAGUGCCUGACCAUUCUCAAGGAGCUGCGUGGAUUCCAGACAUCUCUGGGCUGGUCUCUGGACCGGGAUGGGGGACCCAGAGGUGGAGCCGAACACACAAGCAGCACUUGAGGGCUCCGAGGGUGGCAAGGAGAGAAGUUCCUGCUCUGGUACAGCCCUGGGACCUUGAAAGGUGCUUCAACAGAGCGUCCACUCCCAGCGCCUAGCUCUGGGACCUUGAAUGGUGCUUUAACAGAGCGUCUGCUCCCAGCGCCAAGCCCUCAGUGCAGAGGGGGAGACUCAGGCGGCCCUCAGACACAAUUCGCCAAGGUCGCACAGCAAGUCAGGGUGCCGCUAAGACUAGGACCUACAGCUCUGCCUCCUGGCCCAGGCUCCUCAGCACCUGGGCCCCAGAGGACAGCCUGUGGGAGGCCCACAUGGCCACUGCACCAUGAACCAAGGACCUGGUCCGGGUCCACCUCCACCAAGUGCUGGCCGUGUGUCACUGGGGUCACUCCACUCUCUGCAUUAGGUCUCAGUCAUCCAAGACCAUCUUUCAAGGGCCGUCACUCCAAUUAUGAGUCUGGGAUUUUCUGAAAUUGAGCAUUUUGGCCAGGCUGUGGGGUCCCUCUAUGACUGCCUGUAAGACACUGCCAAGGGGACUUUCUUCCUUUCACCAGACUGAAGCUAAGAAGUGCUGGAGACAGCAGUUGCUUUAGCCACAGGCUGUGUAGACCACCUGAGGAUGACCUGGGGGUCUGUUUUGUGCACCUUGGAACCCAUCGGAUCCCUCCAAUGACACAUUUGUCCAGAGCAAGACAAGAUCACACUUUGACAGCCCUCUGUCAAGAUCCUUGCUCCAAAUCUCCAGACUAGCAGCCAGGAGUCUCCAUGCUGUUCUGAAGAAGCAGAUUCCUCACCCACCCUUCAACUCCUUCCCAGGAGGUAAUCCUCCUCCAAAUCUCUGGAAAAGAUACACCUCCUCUUCUCUGAUAAAGGCUGGGGGGUGAUGCCCCUCCCCCAGUUUCCCAAUAAAGCUAUGCAAGACAGGAGCAAGGGAUCUCACGGCCUGUUUUUGCUACAAAAACCCUUUUUCGGAAAAAAUAAUAAAGAAAGGAAUCAGCCAAUCCCUCCUCGAUGCCA